rnacentral:tRNA from 1 species
GGGCCGAUAGCUCAAGGUAGAGCACGACUCUUAAUAAGGUCGUGGUUGGCGGUUCAAGUCCGCCUCGGCCUA